UACGAAUGGGGCUAGCGUUGCUCGGACUCACUGGGCGUAAAGCGCACGUAGGCGGACUCUUAAGUCGGUGGUGAAAUCCUGGAGCUCAACUCCAGAACUGCCUUCGAUACUGAGAGUCUUGAGUCCGGGAGAGGUGAGUGGAACUGCGAGUGUAGAGGUGAAAUUCGUAGAUAUUCGCAAGAACACCAGUGGCGAAGGCGGCUCACUGGCCCGGUACUGACGCUGAGGUGCGAAAGCGUGGGGAGCAAACAGG
rnacentral:rRNA from 1 species